rnacentral:rRNA from 1 species
UAACCUGCCCAAGAGAUCGGGAUAACACCUGGAAACAGAUGCUAAUACCGGAUAAUAACAGAUGAUGCCUAUCAACUGUUUAAAAGAUGGUUCUGCUAUCACUCUUGGAUGGACCUGCGGUGCAUUAGCUAGUUGGUAGGGUAACGGCCUACCAAGGCGAUGAUGCAUAGCCGAGUUGAGAGACUGAUCGGCCACAUUGGGACUGAGACACGGCCCAAACUCCUACGGGAGGCAGCAGCU